UGUCGAAAAUUUCACUCGUUUCUACUGUAAAAAAAGGCAUGACUGACAGAAUAAUCAAACAGUGACAUGUGGCGUGCCACGUGUACCUCAUGCUAACGUAUAUGGAUCAGUUUUUAACGGUAGAUAUGGAGAAAAUUUUUAACA
rfam:Gossypium hirsutum cultivar TM-1 chromosome 1, whole genome shotgun sequence